UACUUUUUACAUUUUAUAAUCUCAAAAUCUAUGUAUUCUUGAUUUUGAAUCUAGUCAUUGCUGUGAUUGAUUAUGAAUUCUGCUGCACUCUAAAAGAUCAGAAAAUACAAUUGCUUAGAAAAUAGAUUUUAAAUAAUGUAAUGCAGUAAAUGGAUCUUUUUAUUCUUCUUCAUUGUCUUCUUGCUCAGUAAGGCAGUCUUCUUAGGAUCAUGGAUAACUUGUUUCUUUGUGGCUACUGCAAUUGGACCCACAUCUGUCUCAGAGGUGCCUGACAAAAUGGGGAACGGGAGUAGUAUAAGGUACUAUACUACUCCUGCAUGGGUCCCUUUAUCACCCUAAGUGCUACCUCUCUGUUUAGAGCUGUCAUGCCAAGGGUUCCCAGGAGUGAAGUUCUAUUUUCCGUUAAUGUUUUGAGACCAUCCUUAAUUUUGUUUCUCUGUUCACCAGGUUAUCCUUUCCUAUGAUGAUGUUCAGAAUAGGGUGCCCUCAUCACUGAAUCCUUCCACAGAUGAAGAAACUGCUCCCACAACCACUGUAUGGGUUCCCUCCAUUUGGAAGCAACAAUGGACAUGACCCUCACCAAACAACAGCCUCAAGUGAAACGCAGGAAGCUACCCCAAUGAUGUUUGAAGAUUUUACUCGACCUAACUUGGUCAAUCAGAUAAAUUGUGCAGCAGUCUCCUCAGAUUUCCAGUGCCUACAGUUCUUUGAUUUUCUGGAAAGGUAAAGAAAUGCAUUCUGAAGUCAGAAUCAAAAAAGUUCACCUGAGUUUGAUAAUGUUCCUGGAAAUAAGCCAAACCUUGAAAAAAAUCUGAGGGAGGUUUUGAAGUGGCGAGAUGCUCAAGACCAAUCAUUGCUGGGUUGAAGAAGCUUGUAAACCUGCACAAUAUUGCCUUAUGGUGGAAACAAUGCAUAAAUACAGCAGCAGCUGAACAUUUUCCACAGCUACUGAAGUGAAACAUUGAGGAAGAUUCCAGAAUCUGCAGUUCCUUGUGUCUCCAAUGCCUCACAUCUUUACUGAUUUUAUCCAUCUACAUGAUGAUGUAGUCUGGAGAGAUAUUUUACUUCGGAGUCACGUGAGUGACUAUGUGAAGAACCCCGCCAGGACGCAUGGGUGUCAUAUCGCUACAAGCAUUGCAACGAGUCACAGCGGCAGAAUUUAAAAGUCUGGAACAGCAGCAGGGCUGCAGCUACAUCACCAGCAAUGCAAUUGGAUGUUCCAAUGGACCAAAUCCUCAAGACAGCAAGAUGGUCAACGGAGAGAACUUUCCAACGAUUUUAUAAUAAACCAGUCAUUGAACCUGGAACAUUUGCAGAAACACUUUUAACUUCUGUAAUAUGAUUUUACCCCAUAAAUAGGGGCUAUGAUUUGGUGUUAAUAAAUUUUUCGUUGUUUCAAUAUCGUAUUGAUAUCUAAUGAUGUUAACACUAUUCUCCCCAUAAUCAAGGCAGAUGUGAUGCAUGGAAUCGUUUCCACGGCAUGAAAUCACAGAGCUUUAAAAAUCUUCACGUAGUCACUCACGUGACUCCGAAGUAAAAUAGUAAGAUUAAACGAGAACUUACCAGUUUGAAGUUUGAUCGUUAUUUUAUGAGGAGUAACGUUGAGGGAAUACGUGCCCUCUGCUCCCACCCUUGAUCAUAUACUCAACUGGUAUCUCUUCUCUAAUCUUACUAUGUUUAGUCAUUACAGUUAUCUGUGAUUUCACACCGCUGCUUUGAAGAAUGACACGCAUGCGUCCUGGCGGGGUUCUUCACGUAUUCCCUCAACGUUACUCCUCAUAAAAUAACGAUCAAACUUCGAAC